ACUCCUACGGGAGGCAGCAGUUAGGAAUAUUCGGCAAUGGGGGAAACCCUGACCGAGCGACACUGCGUGAAGGAGGAAGGCCUUAGGGUUGUAAACUUCUGAACGAGAGACGAUAAUGACGGUAUCUCGGUAAUAGCACCGGCUAACUCCGUGCCAGCAGCCGCGGUAAUACGGAGGGUGCGAGCGUUAUCCGGAAUCACUGGGCGUAAAGCGUGCGUAGGCGGCUUUUUAAGUCGGAUGUGAAAUCCCGAGCUAACUUGGGAAUUGCAUUCGAUACUGGGAAGCUAGAGUAUGGGAGAGGAUGGUAGAAUUCCAGGUGUAGCGGUGAAAUGCGUAGAGAUCUGGAGGAAUACCGAUGGCGAAGGCAGCCAUCUGGCCUAAUACUGACGCUGAGGUACGAAAGCAUGGGGAGCAAACAGGAUUAGAUACCCUGGUAGGUCAGUC
rnacentral:rRNA from 1 species